rnacentral:lncRNA from 1 species
GUUUAGAGGGGAAAUGAGUGGGUUAUGAGCAUCUUAACCUGAUCAGUGCAUUAAUCCACUGAUAGGGAUUAACUGGGCAGUUCUGUAGGCAAGUAGGGUGUGGCUGGAGGAGGUGGGUCAUUGGGGUGUGUCUUUGGAUAUAUUUUGUCCCUGGUCUGCAGUGUCUCUGUCUGCUUCCUGGUGAUCAUGUCCUGGGCUGCCUUCCUCCUCCAUACCCUUUCAUGAUGUUCUGCCUCACCUCAGGCAUAGAGCAAUGGAGUUGGCCAUCUAUGGACCGAGACCUCUGCAACCAUGAACCAAAUAAACUUUUCCUCCUCUAAAAUCAUUCUUGUCAGAUCUUUAGGUCCCAGCAGAAAAAGCUAACUAGAACUCAUUGUCUUGCCUGGUUUUAAAACCAGGGGGCCUCUCCCCAUGCUCCAUAUAGAAGUGGCCUGAGAAGGGAAAGUGCCACCUUCACCAGCAUCCACUGAGGGGGCCCCAGGAUGUGGGUCACCCCUUCUGGGUCACCUCCCUGAAGGCAAGUUGCAGAUCAGCCAACUCAAAAGGAGCGAUUUGCUGAAUUUCUUUGUUUUGUUUAGCAAUUUGGUUUUAACUGGGCGGUUUCCCAUUUAUCUUCAUGAGUCUUUUAAGGACAGCUGCCUUG